rnacentral:rRNA from 1 species
UACGUAGGGUGCAAGCGUUGUCCGGAAUUAUUGGGCGUAAAGAGCUCGUAGGCGGUUUGUCGCGUCUGCUGUGAAAACCCGAGGCUCAACCUCGGGCCUGCAGUGGGUACGGGCAGACUAGAGUGCGGUAGGGGAGAUUGGAAUUCCUGGUGUAGCGAUGGAAUGCGCAGAUAUCAGGAGGAACACCGAUGGCGAAGGCAGAUCUCUGGGCCGUAACUGACGCUGAGGAGCGAAAGCGUGGGGAGCAAACAGG